rnacentral:rRNA from 1 species
AUCGAACGCUGGCGGCAGGCCUAACACAUGCAAGUCGAACGCGUGGCGGACGGUUGAGUAAUGUCUGGGAAAACGCCCGAUGGAGGGGGAUAACUACUGGAAACGGUAGCUAAUACCGCCUACCAUCGGAUUUGCCCAGAUGGGAUUAGCUAGUCGGUGGGGUACCGGCUCACCUAGGCGACGAUCCCUAGCUGGUCUGAGAGGUUGACCAGCCACACUGGAACUGAGACACGGUCCAGACUCCUACGGGAGGCAGCAGUGGGGAAUAUUGCACAAUGGGCGCAAGCCUGAUGCAGCCAUGCCGCGUGUAUGAAGAAGGCCUUCGGGUUGUAAAGUACUUUCAGCGAGGAGGCGUUACUCGCAGAAGAAGCACCGGCUAACUCCGUGCCAGCAGCCGCGGUAAUUC